rnacentral:rRNA from 1 species
CCUACGGGUGGCAGCAGUGAGGAAUAUUGGUCAAUGGGCGCGAGCCUGAACCAGCCAAGUCGCGUGAGGGAGGACGGCCCUACGGGUUGUAAACCUCUUUUGCCGGGGAGCAACGGGCGUCACGUGUGGUGCCACUGAGAGUACCCGGAGAAAAAGCAUCGGCUAACCCCGUGCCAGCAGCCGCGGUAAUACGGAGGAUGCGAGCGUUAUCCGGAUGUAUUGGGUUUAAAGGUAGCUUAGGCGGAUCGUUAAGUCAGUGGUCAAAUUGAGGGGCUCAACCCCUUCCCGCCAUUGAAACUGGCGUUCUUGAGUGGAAGAGCAGUAUGCGGAAUGCGUGGUGUAGCGGUGAAAUGCAUAGAUAUCACGCAGAACCCCGAUUGCGAAGGCAGCAUGCCGGCUUCCGACUGACGCUGAAGCACGAAAGCGUGGGGAUCGAACAGGAUUAGAUACCCCAGUAGUC